rnacentral:lncRNA from 1 species
CGCCUGUCUGGCCCAGUUUAUAUCACCCAGAUUAGAUUAGGUUCUGUUCACCUGUCUGGUCCAGCCUAUAAUCACCCAGCCCUAGAUUAGGUUCUGUUCACCUGUCUGGCCCAGCCUAUAAUCACCCAGCCCUAGAUUAGGUUCUGUUCGGUUCUGUUCACCUGUCUGGCCCAGCCUAUAAUCACCCAGCCCUAGAUUAGGUUCUGUUCGGUUCUGUUCACCUGUCUGGCCCAGCCUAUAUCACCCAGCCCUAGAUUAGGUUCUGUUCGGUUCUGUUCACCUGUCUGGCCCAGCCUAUAAUCACCCAGAUUAGGUUAUGUUCGCCUGUCUGGCCCAGCCUAUAUCACCCAGAUUAGAUUAGGUUCUGUUCACCUGUCUGGCCCAGCCUAUAAUCACCCAGAUUAGAUUAGGUUCUGUUCACCUGUCUGGCCCAGCCUAUAAUCACCCAGAUUAGAUUAGGUUCUGUUCACCUGUCUGGCCCAGCCUAUAAUCACCCAGAUUAGAUUAGGUUCUGUUCACCUGUCUGGCCCAGCCUAUAAUCACCCAGAU